UKGMAGUCGAACGAUGAUGCCCAGCUUGCUGGGUGGAUUAGUGGCGAACGGGUGAGUAACACGUGAGUAACCUGCCCCUGACUCUGGGAUAAGCGUUGGAAACGACGUCUAAUACUGGAUAUGAUCACUGGCCGCAUGGUCUGGUGGUGGAAAGAUUUUUUGGUUGGGGAUGGACUCGCGGCCUAUCAGCUUGUUGGUGAGGUAAUGGCUCACCAAGGCGACGACGGGUAGCCGGCCUGAGAGGGUGACCGGCCACACUGGGACUGAGACACGGCCCAGACUCCUACGGGAGGCAGCAGUGGGGAAUAUUGCACAAUGGGCGAAAGCCUGAUGCAGCAACGCCGCGUGAGGGAUGACGGCCUUCGGGUUGUAAACCUCUUUUAGUAGGGAAGAAGCGAAAGUGACGGUACCUGCAGAAAAAGCACCGGCUAACUACGUGCCAGCAGCCGCGGUAAUACGUAGGGUGCAAGCGUUGUCCGGAAUUAUUGGGCGUAAAGAGCUCGUAGGCGGUUUGUCGCGUCUGCUGUGAAAUCCCGAGGCUCAACCUCGGGCUUGCAGUGGGUACGGGCAGACUAGAGUGCGGUAGGGGAGAUUGGAAUUCCUGGUGUAGCGGUGGAAUGCGCAGAUAUCAGGAGGAACACCGAUGGCGAAGGCAGAUCUCUGGGCCGUAACUGACGCUGAGGAGCGAAAGCAUGGGGAGCGAACAGGAUUAGAUACCCUGGUAGUCCAUGCCGUAAACGUUGGGCGCUAGAUGUAGGGACCUUUCCACGGUUUCUGUGUCGUAGCUAACGCAUUAAGCGCCCCGCCUGGGGAGUACGGCCGCAAGGCUAAAACUCAAAGGAAUUGACGGGGGCCCGCACAAGCGGCGGAGCAUGCGGAUUAAUUCGAUGCAACGCGAAGAACCUUACCAAGGCUUGACAUACACCGGAAACGGCCAGAGAUGGUCGCCCCCUUGUGGUCGGUGUACAGGUGGUGCAUGGUUGUCGUCAGCUCGUGUCGUGAGAUGUUGGGUUAAGUCCCGCAACGAGCGCAACCCUCGUUCUAUGUUGCCAGCGGGUUAUGCCGGGGACUCAUAGGAGACUGCCGGGGUCAACUCGGAGGAAGGUGGGGAUGACGUCAAAUCAUCAUGCCCCUUAUGUCUUGGGCUUCACGCAUGCUACAAUGGCCGGUACAAAGGGCUGCGAUACCGUAAGGUGGAGCGAAUCCCAAAAAGCCGGUCUCAGUUCGGAUUGAGGUCUGCAACUCGACCUCAUGAAGUCGGAGUCGCUAGUAAUCGCAGAUCAGCAACGCUGCGGUGAAUACGUUCCCGGGCCUUGUACACACCGCCCGUCAAGUCAUGAAAGUCGGUAACACCCGAAGCCGGUGGCCUAACCCUUGUGGAAGGAGCCGUCGAA
rnacentral:rRNA from 1 species